rnacentral:rRNA from 1 species
GAAGUCGAGCCUUCGGGCGAGACUGACGAGCAACGUCGGGAUAGCGGCAAACGGGUGAGUAAUGCGUGGGUAACGUACCUUGGAGAGGGGGAUAGCUUCGAGAAAUCGGAGGUAAUACCCCAUGGUCUCCUAAGACUGAAAUGUCUUAGGAGUAAAGGUGGCCUCUUCCGACGUUAUGUUGGAAUGCUGCCGCUCCAAGAGCGGCUCACGUCCUAUCAGAUAGUUGGUAGGGUAAUAGCCUACCAAGCCUAAGACGGGUAGCUGGCAUUAGCGUGUGGUCAGCCACAUCGGGACUGAGACACUGCCCGGACUCCUACGGGAGGCUGCAGUCGAGAAUCUUUCCCAAUGGGCGAAAGCCUGAGGAUGCGACGCCGCGUGGGGGAUGAAGCGCUUCGGCGUGUAAACCCCUUUUAUCGGGGAGGAAAUCCCGAUAAUGAAUAAUUAUCGGGACUGACUGUACCCGAUGAAUAAGGUGCGGCUAACUCCGUGCCAGCAGCCGCGGUAAUACGGAGGCACCUAGCGUUACUCGGUUUGAUUGGGUGUAAAGGGUCCGCAGGCGGCCAAGUAAGUGGAAGGUGAAAGCUCCCGGCUUAACCGGGAAGGUGCCUUUCAAACUGCUUGGCUUCGAGGCUGGAAGAGGAGAGCGGAACUGCCGGUGUAAGGGUGAAAUCUGUGGAUAUCGGCAGGAACGCCUGUGGCGAAGGCGGCUCUCUGGUCCAGUCCUGACGCUCAGGGACGAAAGCUAGGGGAGCGAACGGGAUUAGA